rnacentral:rRNA from 1 species
AUUGAACGCUGGCGGCAGGCCUAACACAUGCAAGUCGAGCGGAGCGGCGGACGGGUGAGUAAUGCCUAGGAAUCGGCGGGGUAGUGGGGGAGAACGUUAGGAAAGGGGCGCUAAUACCGCAUACUAGCAGAUGAGCCUAGGGCGGAUUAGCUAGUUGGUGGGGUAAAGGCCUACCAAGGCGACGAUCCGUAACUGGUCUGAGAGGAUGAUCAGUCACACUGGAACUGAGACACGGUCCAGACUCCUACGGGAGGCAGCAGUGGGGAAUAUUGGACAAUGGGCGAAAGCCUGAUCCAGCCAUGCCGCGUGUGUGAAGAAGGUCUUCGGAUUGUAAAGCACUUUAAGUUGGGAGGCGUUACCAACAGAAUAAGCACCGGCUAACUUCGUGCCAGCCGCCGCGGUAAUUC